rnacentral:lncRNA from 1 species
UAGUAUUGUUGAUUUAUUUGUUUAAUUUGAAGUUAUCUAGUUUUAUUUAUUAAAUUACAUUAUCUUAUAUCAUGUGUCUUUUAUUCGACUAUAUAACUAUAUAUUUUAUUUUUACACGGUUGUGGAUCUAUGUUUAUAGUUAUUUUAUAGAAUCCUCGACAUAAAUAUUUAAAAUACAUUCUACAUUUAUUUAAUUAGAAAACUUAACAUAACUCUUUUAUAUAAAAAAAUAUUCAUUUUUGUUUUUAUAUUUAUUUUUUUAUUUCUGUAUUUUAUUAUAUUUUUCCUAACAAUUAUUUUGAUUUUUUAUUAUCUAUUAUUUUUUUGUUGUGGUCUUCUUUUCGUAUAAAUUUUUUUUAAUCUUUUAUGUAUUAUUAUCUCUUAAAAUAGUUAUUAAUUAACACCAAAUCUGAAACUAAUGUCUUAAAAUUAAUAGUUGUUUACAUAUAAUAAGUCAAAUGGAUAGUUGUUUCCUCAAAAAGAUGGAGGAAUUAAUUGUUUUAUAAUCUAACAAAAUUCAAAAUAAAAUAAUUGUAUUAUUAUCAUAAAAGAACCUAGUAGAUAAAUUAAUUUUCCAUCUAAAUUAAUA